CUGUGCAUAGCUUCGGUGCUAGCCUGAGCCAUGUUGUGUGCGUGUUGCCCUGGCAUCGACACACGUUCAUACGAUACCUAGCCUGCGAAUGCGAGAAGGGGUGGUUGCAUGUGCUUGACGUGUUGCGCUCGUCCCAAACAUGUCUCCCCUAUAGCACCCAAACGAUCGUUACGAUCGCUGUUACCUAGGUCGUAGAUCGUUACCCCUCCGGCAUCGUUACGAUCUCGCUACGAUCUGCUUACCAUCUUAACCAGCCAUGGUAACAGCCUGCUCACGGUCUACGAGGCGCACAUGUAACCAUCACUUUGACGCCCGUUACAUGGCAGCCUUGUGCUUUGCUGAAGGCCUACCUCAGUACUAACGUAAGAACUAUGUAGUCCGCUACUCCACAUGCUAGCCAUCUGUCAAGGCUUGAUAGCACGACAAGUGCAGAUGCUCAUGCAACACUUAUGCAACACUACCGCAAGUCCAUACGUACAUGCAACAAUACGCCAAGUCAUGUCUGCGUGUGAACGUGCAACUAGCCACUGGCAGCAACCACUUGCAUGUCUGCUGGGGACAACGUCUCUGACCCACCACCUUGACGCCCGCCGCCACCACAGCUAGCAUGCCAAACUAUGCCACUGGCACCUCCAUCUCUAGCGCCAGACAGCUGGUGUCACGCUGGCUCCUGUAGUUUUGCUUCCACCGGCAGCGCCUGCAUGCACGCGUGCACACACAUAGACACACCCAGUUAAUCGUCUGCCACAAGACGGGUAGGUGCCAAUGCAUGUCAAGGCCAGCCAUGGACAGAGUGCUUGGCAGCAGUGCACGGGGCCUACCACACAAGGCGUGUCUGUGUGCACAUGUGCAUGUGUGUGCGCCCACAUGUGUCACGGACACUCACCGUUGAUGAGCACAAUGCUGGAGGUGUAGGGGCAGUCCAGCCAACCGUACGGUCCAUAGGGUACAACAGGGGUUGGGCAGCAAGCUGUCGCGGGGCAGGGUGUGUGCGUGCGGAGGGGGGCGGGGUGGUAUGUGAGACACAAGGCACCGUGGCAAGGGAGCCAUAAAAACACCUUACAGCGAGCGCUGGUAAGGGAGGCAGCAGACAGUCACUAGUUGUAGGCGGGGGCUCCACCAGACAACCCAACACAGCGCGAGAAGAUGACCAUGCACACUGGCUUGCGAGGUACCACUAGGUUCAACGCAUCCCAUCGACAUUCAACCUGCAGACUAACCUGCAGACUAUGGCGUGCGGGGCGAGGGUGAUGUUGACAGAACGCGAUGUUGAAUGGCGUUGUUGACGCCGGCGACCGAGACUUCUCGGUCGGACAUUUGAAGCGCAGCUGAUAGAUUAUGAGGCAUAGUAGUUUCUCUCACGUAAUAGCUGGCUGCAGCUGACGUGUGAGCAGCGUUGCCAAGCCGGUCAACGAGCAGUCAGCAGCGUGAGGACUCGCGUCCCAAGCCAGCCAAGCAGCGUCGGCCGCCAGCUCUUGUUCUACUGACAUUUGAGCUAGCAUAAAUUUGUGUUACAAAGAGAAGUAGCAAGCGCGAGAGAGCAAAGUGGGGGACAGGAACAGAAGUCCAGCGGCACCGGCAUGAAGUGCAGUGUAUCAGUAUAUGUAUGGUACUAUAUCAGUGUAUGUGUAGUAGUAUCAGGGGCCGCUCUAUGCUGCUUGUUAAGUCAGGCCCGCGAGAACCCCAUGCAGGAACCCUGUUACCCCUCGCGAAGGCCCCGUUACCCCUGGCUUAGGGUCGUUACCACGCCCAAGGGUCCCUGUCACAAUGUCACACAGUCGGCCUACAGCCCCCAGACUUCCUCGUUCGCGAGCGCAAAGACUACAGAAGUUUAAGGCUUCACAUAUUAGACUGUUUUAACACAAACUGUCACUACAUUACACACUUUGCAGACUAGAAUGUCGGCAUGUUCACUUGUCGGCGACGAAAGGCACUCCGCCCAGUCCGCAAUGUGUGUAUGCAUGACAAGUAGCUAAGAGGUGACCACAGCACCACUUGGCUUGCGUCCUGGGCGUGCCAGGCCGUGCGGGCCCGAAACAAUCGUUACCCCCUGUCCGGGGAUCGUCACCCCCGUUUUUUGAUCGUUACCACCAUUUGGGUGCCAUAGGGCUCCUCCUUCUGUCGCCUGCACCGGUGUCUGCCGCAGGGCCUGCGACUGAACCUGUUCGACAUCAUCCGCCAGCAGGCGCGGCAGG
rnacentral:lncRNA from 1 species